GGGAAGGUAACAGCGCUCUAUGCAGUCAUUCUGGCCACAUGACCUUGGAAGUGUCUAUGUCUAAGCUCUUCGGCUUAGAAAUGGAGAUGAGCACCAACCCCCAGAGUCAGACAUGACUGGACGUAACGUCAGGGGAAACUUUUACCUACCUUUACCUUACCUGAAUCCAUAUUAUAAGAAUUGGGUCCGCAUAAAUCACUUCAAAAAGUUGGACUAGGGCAUCAAAUAUUUAGAUACAUCACUAUAAUGUGUCUUUAUGGUGGCAUGGUCCAACAUUCUAGUCAGUUCUCAUAUACCCUAAAUGCACCAGAUCCUAAAUGAUCUCGGAAAGUAAGCAGGUACAGCUCUUAGAUUGAAGACCACCAAUGAAUGCCAGAUGUUGUAGUCUGUAUUUCAAAGGAAAGAACUGGCAAAGCAACCUCUGAGUAUUCCUUGUCUAAGGAAAUUCUGGAAAUCCAUGGGGUUACUAUAGCCUGACUUGAAGGCGAUUUAUGGACAUGCAAACACUAUGCAGCACAUGACUCAGAUAUCUAAACUUCUUCAUAUUAGCUUCUAAUUUGUUUCUGAGGCCAUUUCAAAGCACUUAUUUUAAGACAAAGUAUCCCAUUUAAAGCUCUAAACAUUUUCUGGGAAGAAAAUAUUAAUGGCCACUUCCUCCUAUACAGAUUGAAUCAUUCUUUUGGAUUUUCCUCAAACACAUCCUAUCAUUGAAAUGAAUCUACUUUAGUUUAACCAAAUGCAGUACAAAUUAUAGUACUGGGUCUAUGUGUGCCUCACAAGAUUUUUUUAAAGACCCAUAUCUUUUCUGGAAAAAAAUGUGACUCAUCUUUUCUAGAAAUAUUGGAGUGACCAUUCAACCCAUUGGGAUCAUAUCACCCAUUGCAGCAUUGAACCAAAUAUCAUUUUUUCAAAAACAGAAAUGGAUUUCUAACAGCUUCUGGUUUGACUUCUUUUUCCAAUUUUGACAGUUUGUAAAAUCUUCAAAGGGCUCCAGGGAAAGAAAUUAUGAUUUUCAACUGGAAUUUACUAGGGAGCCAUAUACACGUGCCAGAAAUUGUGAUGUUGAUCCGGAGUGAAUUACUGUGGAUCACAGCUGUUGAAGUCCGCAUUGGUCAGCCAUUGUUCCACACUUAACCAGCCCAGGGGAUUGAUGGUGUCUGCACAGCCCAGUGACACCAGAACCAAUUUGGUGCUGCUGGACCACCAUCAUCACCUUCCCCCUGUCGUUCUGGUCUUGGUGGCAGUCACCAACCCUGAAACUGGCAGUGACUCUUACUUGCACCAUUCUGAGACUACCUGGACCAACAAAGCAACAUGAAGGAGAGGGGGGAGGAAGGAGGAACCACUCCCUCCCUAUUUGACUGCUUUUUGCCACAGCUUGCAUCACUACAAGUGCUGAACAAUGACCACCCCCAAUUUCAUACCCAGUGAUCUCUGCUAAGGACAGAUGAAUGGGGGAAGGUAAGUGCCAUCCCCUGUAUGAACAACUAUGGCCACUUCUGACUAGAGAGCAACCCAACUAUUUACACUGCCACAAAGUGCAGGCAAACUUUGGAGCUUCAGAAAAUACAGAUGUCAUGAAGUAGGUUCAGCUACACAUCAGCUCAUUUGAUCCAUGUGCAUGUGCCCUAUGCCAUUUAAGAGUUAUGUAAUCUAGGAUUGAACAUUUAGAACUGCUUUAUGUUCACAGUCCUAUAUUUUCUCUUGUUUAGGAAAUAUGGAAGCUCCACAAUCCCAAUCACCAGGUAGUAGCCAUUGUGAUUAAUGUGGAUCUGUUCCCCUGUUGUUUUGGAAGCAGCCAACAUUCUGACCCACCAUCCCUCAACCUCCACGCCUCAUAUGAGUGAUUUCUGGCCUGGUAGGGAAUUGAGGCAGUAACCUUAUUUCUGUCUUUCACAAUGAUAGUUUAAGAUAGAGAAGGGAAAAAUCUGUAAAUCUUGUUUUCUCUUUUAUCCUUUUUUAUCUUUGUGUUCUUUUCGUCAUCGUCGUCGUCAUCAUCAUCAUCAUCAUCAUCAUCUUUAUUUAUAUCCCUCCCCAUCUCCUGAAGGGACUCGGGGCAGCUCACAACAUAAAUAAUACAAAAAAUACAAUACAAUAAAUUACACAGAGUAGGGUAACCUAAUUAAUAACAUAACCAAUGAAUAUAGAACAACAAGAUACAAUCCAAUACAAAUAAGCAAGAAAAUUAACAAUAAAUAUUAUAAAACAUUAGAUUAAAAACACAAUUGUUUCUAUGAGCUGCUACCUCAAACAAGGUAUAUCCAUAUCACAGAGAUUGAUUAAUCAUUGUUAAAAGACUGUUUAAAAAGCCACGUCCUCAAUUCCCUCCUAAAUGUUGUAAGGGAGGGAUGUUGUCUAAUCUCCCUUGGGAGGGCGUUCCAGAGUCGGAGGGCCACUACUGAGAAGGCCCUCUCCCUCAUCUCCACCAACCUGUGAAGGAGGCGGGAUCGAGAGAAGGGCCUCCCCAGCUGAUCGUAAGGCCCAAAUGGGUUCAUAAGGGCGGGAUGCAGUCACGUAAAUAGGCAGGACCUGUGCUGUGCUGAGCUUUAUAGGUGAUGGCCUGCACUUUGAAUUGGGCCCAGAAGCAUUGCGCAAAUAUGAAGAAAUUUGUAAAUUUGUAUAUAAAUUUUUGAAAAAUGAUCAGAAAUGAACCCCCUCCCCCCAUCUGCACCAAUCAAAUUCAAGAGACACCAAUGAAGGGGGCCACAAUAAACACCAAUCUAAUUCAAGAGGCACAACUGUUUCCACCAGUGAAGGGGAACAUGGUAAGCAGUUUCUCAUAAACAAGAGAUAGUAACUAAUUCAGCACAAAUAUGGCUCAAUGUAUUUCAAACCUAUACUUUGUGACUAGAUUUGUCAGGUUUGUUUACUUUCAAAUUUAAUUUGAUUUGUUAAAUCUUAAGGUCUUACUAUCCUAAAGACUAAAAAAGUGAAUUUAGGGAAAUUCUUAACAAAAAGGAAGAGGCAUGAAAUCCUCACCUAUUCCUACUAGUAAUUAAGGAUGUAUGAUGGCCUAUUUUAUGCUUAUCCAUUAAAAAUUACAUUGCAAGAAAUUUCUUGCAAGAUUACUAAACAUUUGCAGAUUUUUGAUUGUGAGUUUUUGUUUUGUUUUGCUCAUUUUUAUUACUUUUGCAAAAGUUUUCUCAAGGUUUUGUGCACAACAAACAUUAUGCAAUGUGUCUUUCCUUCUGUGUGCACAAAAGAGAGAUUUUGCAUAAAAUAUAUUAUCUACACAAUACAGCAUUUUCUGUCAAAAAUGGGAAAAAACUGGUCUUUCCACUUUCAAGCAGGUCCAAAACUGUCAUGGGUUUGACAACAUUUUCAGUGGAGUUUCUUGAUAUGUUGAAACAUUCUUCCUCAAUGAGAAUGAAAACAUGUGUGAUUAUGGUUACAGAUGGUGAAAGAAAUUCAAAUAUCAAGAUUAGUGAAAGGAAUCUGUCUGGGGACCUAUGGAGUUACUGUCAAAUGCAAAAUAAUGGACCAACUGAAGCAAUGUUGUUGCUGAACAUAAAGCAAGUUCUUAUAUAUAACUAUUUUCUCUCACACUGUAUUCUUAUUUUUCACCACAUUAAGUUAGGUCAGUAUUCUUUAUGUGCUAUGAACCUGAAAGUGCAAACACAAAACUAUACAAAGUUGUUGAUAAUUUAACUGUAUCUUCUGGCCUUCAUGUGCUGCGAAGAUUUUGCCUAGUGAAUGGUGCUUGUUUGACAAAGAUUUAAAUUCCAUUGAACCAUGCCCUCAAAGAGCAUGAGUUUUAGGUUGUGAACAUUGCUGCCAGUCUUGUGUUCAAUGUGUGAUGAAGGGCAAAUGAAAAUUACGUUCAAUAGCCAAACAAGCUGCUAAAAAUGUCAAACAGACCUGCGCUUGGGAACUAGUGGAGCGAAUAACAAACACAAGGCAAUGUGCAGAAUGCAACCACUUUAAUACUAUCAGGCUUUGAAUAUGAUUUUGUAGAGAAAAGCUGGGUGUAUGUGAAGAGAAUUAAGAAAUAUAAGAUGCAGGAGGGGAGAAAUAUUGCUGUUCUCUUUUCUGUGGAUGCUGAUUCUUUAUUCAUAGAAUCAUAGAAUAAUAUAGUUGGAAGAGACUUCAUGGACGAUCCAGUCCAACCCCCUGCCAAGAAGCAGGAAAUCACAUUCAAAGCACCCCCAACAGAUGGCCAUCCAGCCUCUUCUUAAAAGCCUCCAAAGAAGAAGCCUCCACCACAGUCUGGGCGAGAGAGUUCCAGUGUCGGACAGGUCUCACAGUGAGGAAGUUCUUCCUGAUGUUCCUACAGUUUGAAGGUAAAGGUUUCCCCGACGUAAAGUCCAGUCGUGACUGACUCUGGGGGUUGGUGCUCAUUUCUAUUUCUAAGCCGAAGAGCCGGCAUGUCCGUAGACACCUCCAAGGUUAUGUGGCCAGCAUGACUGCAUGGAGUGCCAUUACCUUCCCGCAGGAGUGGUACCUAUUGAUCUACUCACAUUGGCAUGUUUUCGAACUGCUAGGUUGACAGGAGCUGGAGCAACAGCUGGAGCAACAGCGGGCGCUCACGCCGCUCCCGGGAUUUGAAUCUGGGACCUUUUGGUCUCCAGCUCAGUGCUUUAACGCACUUUGCCACCGGGGCUCCUCAAUGGAUUGUCACCUUGACGUGGUGAGGGGGCUUGCAUGUUCCAAUGAACCUGAGGGCACAACCAUGGGAGUCACACACUCCCAGGAGUGGCCACAGGGGAGGAUCCAGACCAAGAACAAUCCGAAGACCCAAAGACCUCAACGGCGGAGCAGGCGGAGGAUAACAUGGUACAUGUUACAACUGCUGUGAAGGCGGAAGAAGGCUGCAACAGACUGAGAAGCCACUCUCGUUGUGUUAAUCACACCACUGUUGGGACCUCAAUCUGUGAAGACUGUGUGUUGACCAUCCGUGCACCGACCUCCACACAGUAAAAAAAUCACGCACAGGCGUCUUCCAAGAAAUGGAGGACCAUCAUCCUCGAACUAUGAGGGAUCGCCUAACACAGUUUGAAGCCAUUGUUCCGCAUCCUAGUCUCCAGGGCAGCAAAAAACAAGCUUGCUCCCUCCUCCCUAUGCCUCCCCCUCACAUAUUUAUACAUGGCUAUCAUGCCUCCUCUCAGCCUUCUCUUCUGCAGGCUAAACAUGCCCAGCUCUUUAAGCUGCUCCUCAUAGGGCUUGUUCCCUAGACCCUUGAUCAUUUUAGUUCCCCUCCUCUGGACACCUUCCAGCUUGUCAACAUCUCCCUUCAAUUGUGGUGCCCAGAACUGGACACAGUAUUCCAGGUGUGGUCUGACCAAGGCAGAAUAGAGGGGUAGCAUGACUUCCCUGGAUCUAGAUGCUAUACUCCUAUUGAUGCAGGCCAAAAUCCCAUUGGCUUUCUUAGCAGCCGCAUCACAUUGUUGACUCAUGUUUAACUUGUUGUCCAUGAGGACUCCAAGGUCUUUUUCACACAUACUGCUGUCGACCCAGGCGUCCCCCAUUCUGUAUCUUUGCAAUCCAUUUUUUUCUGCCUAAGUGGAGUAUCUUGCAUUUGUCCCUGUUGAACUUCAUUUUGUUAGUUUCAGCCCAUCUCUCUAGUCUGUUAAGAUCAUUUUGAAUUCUGCUCCUUUCUUCUGGAGUGUUAGCUAUCCCUCCCAAUUUGGUAUCGUCUGCAAACUUGAUGAUCAUACCUGCUAACCCUUCGUCUAAGUCAUUAAUAAAGAUGUUGAACAGAACGGGGCCCAGGCACACACACACACACACACACACUCCUGCUUAUGGCACUCCACUUGUCACUUUUUUCCAGGAUGAAGAAGACGCAUUAGUGAGCACCCUUUGGAUUUGUUUGCUUAGCCAAUUACAGAUCCAUCUAACUGUAGUUUUGUUUGUAUUCACAAACCAAUCUAAACCAAAUUACUGCUGAAUGAUAAGAUCAUCUUAUUAAGGUGUCACAUUUAAUGGAGGACUGGUGGUUAAUAUUCUAGAACUGUGAGUGGGAAAUCUAUGACGGUUAGUGGGCAAAAUUGGGUUAAUUAUUCUCUUGUUCUGAUCUACUUCACAGAAUGUCUGGAAUGAUAAGAAAGCAUGGAAGAAAAGAAGGUGGUUGUGGAGGAGCCAUGUUUCCUGCAUUUAGUUUAUUUGGAAUUAAAUUCAAAUAACUAAUUAUUGAAAUUAAAGUUUUGAUGUCAAACUAAAUCAUCAGCUGUAGAAGACAGUGAAAUGAAGGAUCAUCGCUCUGCAAAGUUCCUCGGAGCUCAGAGAAAGAAGAACAAGGGGGAAGCAACAAAAUUGUCAAGUAGAUGGAUACAGUCUCUUAAUACCAGCCAUAAUGGAGAAAGAGCUUGCCAUCAUGCAAAUUUCUGCUUAGUGUGCGAAAAGCAUUCUCAGAGGUUUUACAUCAAUGUCAGGCUGGUGCCUACUGUGGAUUCAAAACAUGUGGUGAAUUGUAAUGUAAAUGUAUAAUACAUUCAUUUCCUGAAGGGUUUUAAAAAUAUUUUAUUUUAGUGAAUUACAAUGUAUAUAUUUUUAAAAAAUACAAUGUUGAAAAAGUUGUUAGAUAUAAUGCCUAAUAUUUAGUUAAAAUCAAGUGCUAAGCUUUUUAAAAAACUAUCUGUUUCAUAUUGAAGCAACAAGUAUUUGUUAUUGCAUGUUGUAUUUGAACAACAAAACAGUUCUGAUUUACUGAAACAGAAUGAAACAAAACUCAGUGUAGGCUCUUAUACAUGUCUAGCUCAUGCAGAAUUCUCUCCUCUACUUGGCUAAACAGAAAAGAGCAAUCAAAAUGUUUAUGCUAAGGAGGAAAAUCCCAGCAUAUAUACUGAGAGUGGGAAUUAUGUGGCUCCCCAGAUGAUAUUGGACUGAAAGUCUCAGCAGCUCAGCUACCAUAGCCAAUGAUGAGGAAUGUGGUAAGUCAAGAUCAGCAACAUCUGGGGAAUCACAUAUUUUUGUGAGAUGUGCCCUGAAAGAGACUGAAUGAGCUAUGACUGAACAGCAAAGGAAACUUGGUAUUGUGGUCAGUGAAAGGUUGGCUUGGUUCAGAUGGGAUCACACCAGAAAACCCUGCCAUGUUGUGUAUGGACAGUACGCUAGUAACAUUACAAUUCCCACAUUUCCAUAGCAUUGAGCCAUGCUAUUUAAAGUGGAUCAAGCUGUAUUUAUACUUUUCAGUUGCCGAAACAUCUGAAUGUUACAAGCUAACUGAACAUUGUGUUCAUCUUUCUCUUUUAAUGUAAUGCUUCUACUGAUGACAUCUUUUCAGAACUCUUUUCAAAACAGUUUUCUAUAAAUGACAGCUGUUAAAUGGAACUUCUCGUUUGUCUGCUUUAAAUAGUAGUUUUGCAAAGUAGAUUUUUUCUUCUUUUUACUGACUAAAAUGACAUGUUUGGUAAGUCUGGAGUCUCACUUAUUGAAAAUAGGGAUAAAAGUCCAAAAAUGCAUAGGAUAUCUAUAUCCAUAGUUAUGCCCAAUAAAUACAGAGAAAGUAAGCCCUGGAAAAUCUCACCGUAUAUUUGAUGAAUAUGCAGAUUGCAUAUACUAAUGGACUAGUUUUUGAUUCAGACUGACCCUACAGUAAUGAAUCGGAUAACAUAGCACAACAUCACUGAGAAUUUUAGAAAAGAUAAUCUUUGUUACUUUUUUCUAAAUAAAUUUGAAUAUGCUUCUCCAAGGGUGAAAGAAAUACCAUAGAUAAAACCCUAGAUCAGUGGUUAUAUUAAUUUAUACCUGGCUUUAUCUCCCCAAAGGAGAGCCAUAAAGUUGGGAGCCAUCAUUCUAGAACUCCAGUGAUAAACAACAUCGUCAGAUCUAGGGUACAUUUACAUUGUAGAAUUAAUGCAGUUUCAUACUGCCAUUUAAUUGUCAUGGCUCAAUACUAUGAGGAGAGGCAGGUAAGAAAUAGCAUUAUUAUUAUUAUUAUUAUUAUUAUUAUUAUUAUUAUUAUUCAUGGGAAUUGUAGAUUUGCAUGGUUUUUAGCCUUCUCUGCACAAUACGUCUGGUGCUCCACUAAACUACAGCUCCUAUUUGUCCAUAUCAUUGAACCCUGACAGUUAAAAUGAUAUCAAACAGCAUUAAUUAUAUAGCAUAGAGUCCUCGUUGCUUGAUACAUUUAGGCCACAAUGCCACACACAGUUAUAUGGAAGUAAGUCUCAAUGAUGUAGGUGGAGCUUACCUUGGAGUCUAGAUACAUAGGACUGCACUACUUAAACUGAUUCCAUUUUCUCUUUUGUGACUUUAUAUCAUUGAUACAGUUUUGUGACUGAUGUUGACAUCAGUCAUUCCAUUUUAGUAACAAGGUCUUUCUUAUUAUUUCUGCUGGUUCCUUUUACUGUAUUGGAGAAUUUUGCUGAGUUGCAAGUAAAGUAAUGACCAGUAAUGUGAAAGAUAUCAGCCAAGAGGCAGGGACUGAAGGGCUUCAGGAUUCUUCUCAUGUAGUUUUCUGAUUUCUAGUGGCAUUUAAGAUUGAUAUACCUAUUUGUCACAGUAGUUCUGAAGUAACCCAUUGGUAUUAAGUGGCUUGGGAAACAUGCCCUCUGUAACUGAGUCUGAAACUGUGCCUCUAAUACUGAGUCUUUCUUAUAAGUCUUCAGUGCUAGGCUUUAACUCCUCUUGAGGGGUUUCUUGUAGACGCCAAGCAAAAGCAAGCAAGGGGUUAAACAGCUGCCAUUCUGCUUUGACACAUAUUGGUUUAUUCCAUAUAAGAGCCUAAUAUUAAUGCACUUGAGGUGCUUAUUGCUGUUGUAAAAUAUUGAAUGAAAAUACAUAAUGCAAUGUGACAUGUGAGAGUGCACAUUUAAAUGAAAGCGGAGCUCACAUAUUGUUUUUACACGGUACCUGCCAGUCAAGCCAAAAGUUUAUGAAGAGCCAAAAAGCAAUUUUCAGUCAUGUAGAGUAUAUCAUUCAGGUCAGAUUCUUUUAUGUAAAUCCCUUUCACUUGGGUGUUUAAAU